CCUACGGGAGGCAGCAGUGGGGAAUUUUGGACAAUGGACGCAAGUCUGAUCCAGCCAUGCCGCGUGUGGGAAGAAGGCCUUCGGGUUGUAAACCACUUUUGUCAGGGAAGAAACGGCUCGGGUUAAUACCUUGGGCUAAUGACGGUACCUGAAGAAUAAGCACCGGCUAACUACGUGCCAGCAGCCGCGGUAAUACGUAGGGUGCAAGCGUUAAUCGGAAUUACUGGGCGUAAAGCGUGCGCAGGCGGUUAUGCAAGACAGAUGUGAAAUCCCCGGGCUCAACCUGGGAACUGCAUUUGUGACUGCAUGGCUAGAGUACGGUAGAGGGGGAUGGAAUUCCGCGUGUAGCAGUGAAAUGCGUAGAUAUGCGGAGGAACACCGAUGGCGAAGGCAAUCCCCUGGACCUGUACUGACGCUCAUGCACGAAAGCGUGGGGAGCAAACAGGAUUAGAUACCCUGGUAGUCCACGCCCUAAACGAUGUCAACUGGUUGUUGGGAGGGUUUCUUCUCAGUAACGUAGCUAACGCGUGAAGUUGACCGCCUGGGGAGUACGGCCGCAAGGUUGAAACUUAAAUGAAUUGNGNGNGAGAGNGCGAGACGACGACGAGGAGAGG
rnacentral:rRNA from 1 species